rnacentral:rRNA from 1 species
UACGUAGGGUGCAGGCGUUAAUCGGAAUUACUGGGCGUAAAGCGUGCGCAGGCGGUGAUGUAAGACAGUUGUGAAAUCCCCGGGCUCAACCUGGGAACUGCAUCUGUGACUGCAUCGCUGGAGUACGGCAGAGGGGGAUGGAAUUCCGCGUGUAGCAGUGAAAUGCGUAGAUAUGCGGAGGAACACCGAUGGCGAAGGCAAUCCCCUGGGCCUGUACUGACGCUCAUGCACGAAAGCGUGGGGAGCAAACAGG